rnacentral:lncRNA from 1 species
CUGUCCCCGGGCUGCCUGGGAGUCACUGGGGAGUCCUAGCCCGCCCUUGGGCCUAGGGCUCCCUGAUGCGGCCUCCACUCUUCGCAGGGCCAGGGGGCGAGGAAGGAGGAGGGAGGGAAGAGGGAAGCUGGGGAGUGGGAGAGCGUCCUCCACGACCGCUUGGGUCCUCCGCGGGGCAGCCUCGGGGAGGGUGGCUGCAGGGCCCGGAGUCGCCUGGAUCGCAGCGCCAUCUCGUGGCUGCUGGCAGGUCUGCCUUGGGCCCUCUUGGCACAAGGCAAGGAAACAGGAGCUCUUCCCAUCAGUGACAGGUGCCCGCCGGCCCGCACCCAGGAGAAUGCUCCAGUGUCACCAGUGACUCCUGCUCCCACAUCUGCCUACAGGAAGCCCUCUUGGAACAAAAGCAUCUCACUUCUGGGAGGCAUCAAGAGAUGAGGUCUCAAUGAAGCAGUGUUGUUGCCUGGGGUAAAUACCCGGGUUCAUCAUCUCGAGCCAAGAAGAUUAAGGACAUGAACACACAUGAAGAUCAAGGGAGAAGCAGUGAUGUUUUAGUAUCCAGAAAGUGGAAAUAACCCAAAUGCCCAUCAACAGCAGAAUGAAAUUGUACUAUAUUCACACCAUGGAAUAUUGUAUAGCAAAGAGAAUGAAUGAACUAUUAACAGAAAAGACAUGGACAAAUCUCAUAAACAUGAUGCUGAAAGAAACCACAGUCAAAAAAGUA